AGCUGUGUCCUGGCUCAGACGGACAGCUCUGACUCGCUCGCUCUUUCUCUGGGCGCCUGCGCGCCUACCAUGACAAGCCAUUUCAGGCGAGCCGAGCCCCAGAGCCAUGUGUCUGGUGCGCAGUGUUAACAGGGCAGUUAUACCUUUUACAGACAACUGUGGCUCCAAGUCAAGUAUGAACUUACACAAACAGUUUAUAUAACAAGUGGAGGUGUGCGCCUGCGUGCCAAACUUGCUGACUCGUGCAGGCCUGGAUACCCGCCUCAGACUAUUCCUUGACCGAAGCACUUCCAGGGCAGGAAACUGAAGCUCUUGGGAAGGUGGAAGUUGCACGUGGUCUCACAGUCAACUGUGCCAGAAUAGGAGGCCAGGAACCAUCUCUGCUGGAGGAAGACCCACCACGCAUCCCUUCAAGAAUGCCAAGGUCCAGAGCAAGUGCUUCCCUUCUAUGGGCACAGGAGGGCUGUGGGAGCCCACAGAAUGUGCUUCUGGCCAGAGUGGGAUCCCCGAGGAAGAUGUUAAGACCUCUAAUAAUAUUUAAGAGCAAAAUUAGCACAGCUCCAGCCCAUGGGCAAGUUAAGAGACAGGAGUAGUGUCUGUGGAGUGGAGGAAAGCAGAGGCUGCCGCUGACCAUCCUGCAGCCCUCGCUCUGGCUGCUCACAGCUCUCCACCUUCUCUGGACUUCGUCACUUCAGUAUGUGAAACAACCAUUUCAACCAGCUUGGACAAAAGAGAGAAGCCAAGAUGGGGCUGAGAAACCAAUGCAGGCAGGCCCAGGGACCCAGGAGUCAGGGACCAGGUGCUACCAGAUGCUUGCUCCGACUCGUGUUGCUGCUGUCUUCUCUGUGCCUCAACUCUGUCCUCUGUCACUGCAGGCAGCUUCCUCCCAAGGUGGAAGGUGAUAUAUCCCACCUCAUGAAAUCAGGCUUCACCACAAGAUUGCUUUGACCAAGGGGACGUGAGUAGAAGUUUGAAGAACCACAGACUGGUCCAUCACCUUGUUUCUUAUCCCUCUGACAUAAGCAAUGUCCCAGACUGGGGCUGUUCUGUUAGCCUGGCUUCCAGAAUGAAGAGAGCUGAUCUACAUGGCAUAUGUAAGAUAAAUAAACCUUUGUUAUUACAAACCACUGAAAAAAAAAAAAAAAAA
rnacentral:lncRNA from 1 species